rnacentral:rRNA from 1 species
UACGUAGGGUGCGAGCGUUAAUCGGAAUUACUGGGCGUAAAGCGUGCGCAGGCGGCUUUGCAAGACAGAUGUGAAAUCCACGGGCUCAACCUGGGAACUGCAUUUGUGACUGCAAGGCUAGAGUACGGCAGAGGGGGAUGGAAUUCCGCGUGUAGCAGUGAAAUGCGUAGAUAUGCGGAGGAACACCAAUGGCGAAGGCAAUCCCCUGGGCCUGUACUGACGCUCAUGCACGAAAGCGUGGGGAGCAAACAGG